rnacentral:tmRNA from 1 species
GGGGUUGUUUGGCUUUGACAGCGAGUAGAAAAGGUUUGUAAGCAUGCAGUGCGUUGUCGGUUUGCACUAUAAUCUGAAACGUCAAAACAUUAACUGGCAAUAACAAUUACGCUCUUGCUGCUUAAUCGAAGUAUAGUAGAUUGCAAGCUUAAUCUGUGCACAGGUGCAUAGACAAGACAUCGUCCGGAAGCUGUGGCUUCGAAGCGUUCCGAUACGGCGGUGCAGGUAAAUCGGAGAUAGGGUAAGUGAGGCUUUGACGCUUAUCCGAAACUAAAAAGAUAAGGAUUGAGUAUGGUGUCUUCAAUCGCGCUCUUUCCCGACAGACAAAAUGAAGAUAAGCAUGUAGAAAGCAAAUUGUUUCCUUGUUUGGACGAGGGUUCGACUCCCUCCAACUCCACAA